rnacentral:rRNA from 1 species
CGUGUAGGCGGCUUUGCAAGUCGGGUGUGAAAUCCCUCAGCUCAACUGAGGAAGGGCGCCCGAAACUGCAGAGCUUGAGUACCGGAGAGGAUGGCGGAAUUCCCCAAGUAGAGGUGAAAUUCGUAGAUAUGGGGAGGAACACCGGUGGCGAAGGCGGCCAUCUGGACGGAUACUGACGCUGAGACGCGAAAGCGUGGGUAGCAAACA